rnacentral:tRNA from 1 species
UCUAAUAUGGCAGAUUAGUGCAAUGGAUUUAAGCUCCAUAUAUAAAGAUUUUUUACUUUUAUUAGAA